GGCCGCGGGAGUCGGCGGCGGGUCGGGAUGGAAGGCGGGGACCCAGGGCCCUUUGCCAUCUGAGCACCUGGUCCUGCGCUGCGCGGGAGCCGGGCUGAGACCCGCGAGCGGGAUGCGGCCGCGGCGCCCCGGGUUUGUGUGCGGAGCUGGGUCUCUGUGCUCCUAUGAGCAGUUCUUCGGCCCCGGCACCAAGCUCACGGUCUUAGAGGACCUGAGUGAGGUGAAACUACCCAAGGUCACUGUGUUUGAACCAUCCGAAGCAGAGAUCAAGGAGAAACAGAAGGCCACGCUCGUGUGCCUGGCCACUGGCUUCUACCCCGACCACGUGGAGCUGAGCUGGUGGGUGAAUGGCAAGGAGGUCCAGAAUGGGGUCGGCACGGACACGCAGCCCUACAAGGAGCACCCCGACCAGAAAACCUCUACCUACCGUCUCAGCAGCCGGCUGAGGGUCUCUGCCACCUUCUGGCACAACCCCCGCAACCACUUCCGCUGCCAAGUCCAUUUCUAUGGGCUCGAUGACAAUGACCAGAAAAAUUGGAAUCAGAACCACUCCUUCCCCGCCACCCAGAUCAUCAGUGCCGAGACCCCGGGCAGAGCAGACUGUGGCGCCACCUCAGCAUCCUAUCAACAAGGAUUCCUGUCUGCCACCAUCCUGUAUGAGAUCCUGCUGGGGAAGGCCACGCUGUAUGCAGUGCUGGUCAGUGCCCUCGUGCUGAUGGCCAUGGUCAAGAAAAAGGAUUCCUGAGGCCAGCUCCAAAGUGUAUCCUGAGUCGUUCUCCAUCCUCCUUUAUGUGCUUCCAACCUAUGCUCCUAAAGAAGUCUCUCUCCCCAUCUUACCUCCUUCCUACACUGCUAUUUGUCCCUUCUCUCUGCUGCCCCGCAGACUGUACUCCUCACGCCUCAUCUGAAAUAGACUAAAGCAAUAAAGGUGUCAUA